UCUGCCCCCACCAGCUAGCUCCCUCCCCCCUAAAAACAAACAACAAAUUAAAAACCCCCAAAAGACAAACAAAAACAAAAUAAAAUUUUUUUACCCCCUUAAUGGGGGCGACAAAAAAAGGACCCGGGAGCAAAAGAGAAAGUACCCCGCAAGGGAAAGCUGAAAGAAAUGAUGAAACUCAGUAAGGGCUAAAAGCAGAGAUUACCCCUCGUACCUUUUGCAUCAUGACUUAGUCAGAAGCUCUCGAGCAAAGCGCCCUGUAGUUCGAGCCCCCGAAACUGUGUGAGCUACUCCAAGACAGCCUAUAUAAAGGGCAAACCCGUCUCUGUGGCAAAAGAGUGGGAAGAUCUUUGAGUAGGGGUGACAGACCUACCGAACACAGUUAUAGCUGGUUGUCUACAAAAUGAAUAAAAGUUCAGCCUUUAGGUUUCUUUACUCAACCUUGUACACACCCCUUGUGACCCCAAGAAACCAAAAGAGUUAUUCAAAGGGGGGACAGCCCCUUUGAAAAAAGAUACAACUUUUCAGCAGGCUAAAGAUCAAAAGAAUUUAAGGCAGACACCCAGGUGGGCCUAAAAGCAGCCAUCCUCGCAGAAAGCGUUAAAGCUCAAGUGCUUACCAACCCCCAAUUCCGACAACAACACCUUAAGCCUCUCCCCCAUAGUAGACCUUCUCAUGCAACCAUGAAAGAGACACUGCUAAGAUGAGUAAUAAGAGGGCCCGCCCCUCUCCCAGACACGUCCUUACAUCAGAACGAACCCCCACUGAAAAUUAACGCCCCCAACCUUAGAGGGGACUGAGACACCCCGCAAUUAACAAGAAAACCUCUCAAAACAAAAGCGUUAACCCAACACAGGUGUGUCUAGGGAAAGACUAAAAGAAAAAGAAGGAACUCGGCAAACACCAGCCUCGCCUGUUUACCAAAAACAUCGCCUCUUGCAUCAAAUGUAUAAGAGGUCCCGCCUGCCCUGUGACUUAUUCUUAAGUUUAACGGCCGCGGUAUUUUGACCGUGCGAAGGUAGCGCAAUCACUUGUCUUUUAAAUGGAGACCUGUAUGAAUGGCACAACGAGGGCUAAGCUGUCUCCUUUUUCCAGUCAAUGAAAUUGAUCUCCCCGUGCAGAAGCGGGGAUUGAACCAUAAGACGAGAAGACCCUAUGGAGCUUUAGACAAAAGAUAGCCCACGUAAAAACACCUAGCUUAAUAGGACUAACAAAAUGGCACCUGUCCCAUGUCUUUGGUUGGGGCGACCGCGGGGAAACAAAAAACCCCCACGUGGACACAGGAAAUGCUCCUUGAAGUAAGAGCGACCGCUCUAACUAACAGAACAUCUGACCAGCAAGAUCCGGCAUGGCCGAUCAACGGAACGAGUUACCCUAGGGAUAACAGCGCAAUCCCCUUUUAGAGUCCAUAUCGACAAGGGGGUUUACGACCUCGAUGUUGGAUCAGGACAUCCUAAUGGUGCAGCCGCUAUUAAGGGUUCGUUUGUUCAACGAUUAAAGUCCUACGGAUCUGAGUUCAGACCGGAGUAUCCAGGUCAGUUUCUAUCUAUGAGUUGCUCUUUUCUAGUACGAAAGGACCGAAAAGAGGGGGCCCCCGCUAUAAGCAAGCCCCUCCCCCACCUAAUGAAGAGAACUAAAUUAGGCAAGGGGGCAAGCAGCAUAGUCUGAGAAAAAGACAA
rnacentral:rRNA from 1 species